UCUUUUUCUUAAACAGUGUUUUAAAAAAGUU
rfam:Equus caballus chromosome 28, whole genome shotgun sequence.